rnacentral:rRNA from 1 species
UGGGGAAUUUUGCGCAAUGGGCGAAAGCCUGACGCAGCAACGCCGCGUGAGUGAUGAAGGCUUUCGGGUCGUAAAGCUCUGUCAAGGGGAAAGAAGUGUAGAGUGGUUAAUACCCGCUUUACUUGACGGUACCCCUGAAGGAAGCACCGGCUAACUCCGUGCCAGCAGCCGCGGUAAUACGGGGGGGUUGCAAGCGUUGUUCGGAUUUAUUGGGCGUAAAGCGCGUGUAAGCGGUUUGUUAAGUCUGAUGUGAAAGCCCUGGGCUCAACCCAGGAAGUGCAUUGGAUACUGGCAGACUUGAAUACGGGAGAGGGUAGUGGAAUUCCUGGUGUAGGAGUGAAAUCCGUAGAUAUCAGGAGGAACACCGGUGGCGAAGGCGGCUGCCUGGACCGAUAUUGAC